rnacentral:rRNA from 1 species
UUGGGGGAUAUGGAAAUGGGGGCAACCCUGACCCAGCAAUGCCGCGUGUGUGAAGAAGGCCUGCGGGUUGUAAAGCACUUUCGGUUGGGAAGAAAAGUCCGGCGCUAAUAUCGCUGGGCCUUGACGUUACCGACAGAAGAAGCACCGGCUAACUCUGUGCCAGCAGCCGCGGUAAUACAGAGGGUGCAAGCGUUAAUCGGAAUCACUGGGCGUAAAGCGUGCGUAGGUGGUCAUGCAAGUCGGGUGUGAAAUCCCCGGGCUUAACCUGGGAACUGCAUUCGAUACUACAUGGCUGGAGUAUGGUAGAGGGAAGUGGAAUUUCCGGUGUAGCGGUGAAAUGCGUAGAUAUCGGAAGGAACACCAAUGGCGAAGGCAGCUUCCUGGACCAAUACUGACACUGAGGCACGAAAGCGUGGGUAGCAAACAGGAUUAGAUACCCUGGUAGUCCACGCCCUAAACGAUGAGAACUAGCCGUUGGGGGAAUUCAAUCCCCUAGUGGCGCAGCUAACGCGUUAAGUUCUCCGCCU